rnacentral:tRNA from 1 species
GGAUCUGUAGUUUAGUGGUAAAACAGCGGACCUUUAAUCCGUAAGACAGGAGUUCGAAUCUCUUUAGAUCCACCA